rnacentral:siRNA from 1 species
ACCAAGAAACAUUGGUGCUGGUGA